UAGAGGUGAAGACAGUAUUUGGAAUGAAAUGUUGAUAAAGAAAGGAAAAAACGGUGAUUUCGGUGCGAAAUUGUUUUUUGUUGUACUAGGAGUAUUUGGCGGAUUAUAUACAUUUUUACCAACUUUUCAAGAAGCCGCUGAAAGGCAGAGAAAGGAAAGGGCAAAGGAAAGCAGCACUACAGCAACCCCACAGUCGUCGCCGGAAAAAUCAACAGACAGUAUAUAACAAGGUUUUGUAGAGAGCCCUAGUCCUGCAGGAAAAUAAGGAGGAUAAUGUCAUUCGUGCCCAGAAAAGUGCUAGUAUUUGCUUCAACAGCGACAUUUCUCUUUUGUUUUUUUGAUUAUCUUUCUCGUAGAAGAAGUUCAGAAAUAGACCCAGAAAUACACAGACUAUCUCGGUACAAAGAAACACAAGUACAGCUUGAGGACAAUGAAAUGUCAGGAAAGGACGAAAAAACAUUCAGUUAGUCUAAAUAGGAAACAACUUGUGAAUAUGAGAGAAACACACAUAGAAAAAAUGUAGGAUGCAUGUGCCACUAAAUGUGAUAUUAAAGUUUUGUGUUUGAUAAA